AUUGAACGCUGGCGGCAUGCUUUACACAUGCAAGCCGAACGGUAACAGGGUGCUUGCACCGCUGACGAGUGGCGAACGGGUGAGUAAUGCGUCGGAACGUGCCGAGUAGUGGGGGAUAACGCAGCGAAAGUUGUGCUAAUACCGCAUACGUACUGAGGUAGAAAGUGGGGGACCUUCGGGCCUCACGCUAUUCGAGCGGCCGACGUCUGAUUAGCUAGUAGGUGAGGUAAAGGCUCACCUAGGCGACGAUCAGUAGCGGGUCUGAGAGGAUGCUCCGCCACACUGGGACUGAGACACGGCCCAGACUCCUACGGGAGGCAGCAGUGGGGAAUUUUGGACAAUGGGCGAAAGCCUGAUCCAGCCAUGCCGCGUGUCUGAAGAAGGCCUUCGGGUUGUAAAGGACUUUUGUCAGGGAGGAAAUCCCUAGUGCUAAUAACACUGGGGGAUGACAGUACCUGAAGAAUAAGCACCGGCUAACUACGUGCCAGCCGCCGCGGUAA
rnacentral:rRNA from 1 species